CACAGUCUUGGCUGAAGCAUGAGUGAAACAGGAACUCCUAUUCACUGAGUGAAAACUGAUAGCCCUUAAAAAUGCAUGGAAUACAGCUUGGCCUAAUGCCCAAUGACCGAGAUUUUUAAAAUCAGCACUUCCCUGAGACCAAACUGAAGCCAAGUAUUACCACAGAAGAAACUUCUGAAAUAAAAGAAAGUGUUCAUUGUCAAAUGGGAACCACGUCACACGGAAUGCUUACCCGGCCAUUCUGAAGCAACCACUGAGCAUCUGAGUACGGUCCUUUCCUGUGAUUCACUGUACAUACAGACAUGUGCAAACAUGUACGCAUAUCUUACUGUGGAUACUCUCUACCUCUUUGUCCUCUCUUUUUUUUCUACCUCUCCUCUUUUCCAGUGUUAACAAGAUACACAAAACUCAUGUCUUACAUAUGGCUUUAUGAAAACAAUCUUAUAUACAUUUUCUUGUAUUUUACCUUUUCGCAUAAGGAACAUAUUGGAAAUCCUCUCAAAAUAUAUUUAGAAAUACUUCCAAGUUACCAGAGAGAUUCAACUCCUACUACUGAAUGCUUCAGAAUAUGACUGCCAUAAUACGCAUAAUACUUCUACUAGUCGGUGUUCCCCUAUUCCCAGGAUUUUGGCACUGCCAACAUUGUGGCAGUCAACGUCCAUGUCGACAUGUUCUUGCUUGCUUACUGAUGAUUUUAGUUCAUGGAGACUGAUGAAAGAAUACAUACAUUUCUAAUACUAACUACUACUGUUUGCUUACCAAACCAAACCAAACCAAACCAAACCAAACCAAACCAAACCAACAAGGAAAGUCAUUUCUCUACUAGCAUUCACGGGGAAAUCUUUCCCCACAUAUCCCUGCUAGCAUGGUUUAGCAUUUAAUUUUUACUAGCCAGAGACAUAGCAUUUCACUGUCACUGUAUCAAUUGGUAGUAAGGUUAUAGUUUUCACAUUUGUUAAGCUAAAUGUUAAAUGUUUAAGCUUUUUCUUCUGUGAACUUCAGGCCACAUCCUUCUCUAUGUAUGGUCCUAACUGGUGGACUUUUUACACUUUAUAAGAUUUUUUACAAAUACUAACCUGUUAGAUAUAUUGCAAGUGUUUUCUUUUAAGCAUUUGUUUCCAUUUCUGCUACAAAAUUCUAUCUAUAGAGUUUCAAAGACUACUUUUUCCUUCCCUUCCCUUCUCUUUCCUAAUUCAGAGGUAUUCCUCUGUGGUUUAGGUUCUAUGUAUAUAUAAAAUUUGACUAAUAUUUUAAAUAUCUAUUUACAUUUAAGUUGUAGACAAAUUGAUUCAGUUAUGUUUACCACAUAAAUGUGCCUCCCCUCCACACUUAGUCUCACUUUGUCAUAAUUGGAAUUUCCUUAUACAUUCACAUACACACAUAUUUACAUAUAUAUUUGAAAUAGGAUCUUAUGUAGCCCAGGUUGACCCUGACAUCAUCUGGGGAUGACAGGCAUGUGCCACCAUACAUGCUUUAAGUGGGUUGAGGACAAUACAGGCAUGUGCCACCAUACAUGCUUUAAGUGGUGCUGAGGACAAACUAGAGCUUAGGGCAUGUUAUGCAAGCACUCAGCACUGUACUUCUAUUUCUUAGAAAAUUUCAUACUUAUGUAUUUAAGCCUAACAGUAUAUAUACAAAUAAAUAAACUACUGUUAUAUGAGUAAGCCAAAGCAUUUUCAUAAGGUGUUAAUGCAAUUUUAAAAUGAAAGAAUUAUUUCAAUGUUUACAUUUAGAUUAGACUUAAUAAACUUUAGCUGGACCUGGUGGCAAAGGCCCAUGAUAUCACUACUUGGGAGGAUGAGGUAAGAAACUAGCAAAGACGAGGUUUCGCUAGGUAUGGAGCAUGUUCAAAGUGAGUCUGGACAACUUAGGGGAACCUUGUCUCAAGAUAUGAAAGAGACCAGAUGUCAGAUGUGGCGGUGUAUGCCUCUAAUUCCACAGCCGAAGCAGGUGGACCUCUGAGAGUUCAAGACCAACCUGGUCUAUGUAGCUAAUUCUUGGACAGCCAUAGCUAAAUAUGGAGACCCUGUCUGAAGAAACAAAAAUUAACCUGAAAAUAGCUACAAUAUACCACGAAUAGCUAAAUGUUAAUGUAAAUGGCUGUCACCACAGCAACUAAGUUUUUAGUGAGCAGGUAAAGAUAAAGAAGUGCUAAUCUAAAGAUAUAACUCCAUAUAUUUAUUCACCAUAUUCCAUAUCUAUUAUAUAUAAUGCUGUAAUUAGGCUUUCCCUUCUCAAUAAGAAAAAGGAAAAUAAAAAGCAUUACUGAUCACAGAUUAUUUACCAAUACACAUAAAAAUGAAUGAAAAUACACUUACUAUAUCCCAGUUACUCUAUAGGGAACUGACUUUAAUACAAAUAUUCAAUUAUUUCUUAAACUAUUUUCCUUAUAGUAUUUUUGUCAUGAUUAACAAAAAAUAUAAACUUGAAAAGCUCUAUUUCAAUUAUUAUUUUAUUUACUCAUACUUCCCAUGCAAAACCACUAAUCCUUGUGAAUCACUAAAGAAGGAAAAAAUUCUUACUCUAGUUCAUGUCCAUACUGUUUCUUAUAUUGAACAAACUUUAAGAGUGGAGAAAUAGUUUCCUAAAAACGAUUCCAUGCAUUAAUGAUCAUAAACAUUGAAAAAAUUAACAUAAAAAACCCAGUGAACUAUAGCUAAAACCAAAAUAAGGGAAUUAUGCUGCUAUUCCUCAGCUCCUACUAAUUACUAAGCAAGUUUGGAGUCUGUCAAAGCCAGAUAUUCUGGCACUAGAGUCUGCAGUCCAGCCACUUGGGAGGCUGAGGCACACUGACUAGCCUUAGUCUGGUGGUUUGAGAACAAUAUGAGUUACAGCAUGGCUAGCUUCAAAGAACAUGCCCAGAAAAGUUCUUUUGGCUCUAUUUUUCCACGAUAGACUCAUUUCAAAUUUUAGUCCAUUCCCUGCAACAGAAACCUUUUGUGCAAAAACGUUUUGUUUUUUGUCACUCUUGUAGGGCACUGUAUAUCUCUCCUAGAAGUUCAGGGUGUAUGACUGAAGCAUGUCGUUCAAUUAGUGAGAACUUCUGUUGGUGGAGUGGCACAUAUCGGUAAUCCAGCACUUAGGAAACAGACAGGAAGAAGACCAUGAUGAAAGCUAGGCUUGACCUCCGUUUAAAAAAAACUUAUAAAGUAUGUACUAACCACUGUAGACUUAUGAUCUACCUUGAUAAUACCUACGGGCUAGAUUUAAACAGAAAGAGACUUCAUUUUAAGUGCCCAAGGUCAGACAGUUAAUGAUAGGGAAGGCUAAAACCUAAUCCCAGGCCUCUGUGAUUGGGAAAUCUAUUCAGGAAAAGUUUGAGUAUACUAAGUUACGCUCACUGCCAUCUAGCUUUCAAACUACUCUCAAAUUGAUUAUCUAGGCUUAUCUCAUUCACAAUACCCUUGGGAGGAAAGUUUCUUAGUAUGGAAGCCUGAGGUUUCCAGCAUCGGCUGCACUUAAGAAGGCACAUGACCAAAAUGGAGGCACUGAAUGAAGAUCCUCUAACAUUAGGGCUGAACCAUAGGUCUUACCAUUAUCAGUAAGCGCGACACGCUGUGGAAACAAGGUGCUUACUGAAUUAAUAAAGUCCACACAGGCUCAUAUCUACUCUAUUUAGGAUUUGGAAACUUGGACUGAGAAGUUAAUACUUAGUGCACAGCCUUUAGGGAACUAUAAUUCGUAACAAUUAAGGCAGUUUAAUUUCCUUUUUAAUCAUUCAACGCUUAUUCAAUAAACGACCCAUCAGGGCCCUCAGUAUUCUGUUUGCUUUAACAGGGCCUCUUCUAUCCACUUCAGCAUCCUUGUGCAGAAGAUAUAACAGAGACAGAUUGUUCUUUAACUGCAGGGAGGUUUACUGAGGAAUACCCCAGCUACCAAAAGUAGCCUAUAUGGAGAAGUAAAGAAAUACAGAAUAUUGGGUAUAUCAGCCUAAAGGACUAAUUGGCUACCGUGGCCCAAAGGAAAGGACACACGUUCACUGGUGACACCCUGCAAAGACAGGGUAAUUAAGGGAGAUUUCAGAGUAAGAAAUAAAGGGCGUUGGGGCCCCAACCCUUAAAUUCUCUCUUUCCCCCUCCUUCCCUGUCUCUCCCUUCCCCCAUAGGCCUUCUCACCUAUGAAACAAGGUCUUACUUUGUUGCCCUGGCUGGCCUAGAACCCACUUUGUAGACCAGGCUGGCCUUCAACUCAAAGAACUCUGCCAGACCCAGUGCAGAGAUUAAAGGAGGGAGCCAUUAUACCCAGACCCACACAGAAAUCUCAUUAAUAUCAGAAAUGCCUUCCAGCGCUCAAACCAUCUGUGUGUAUACAGCAUCAAAUUCUUCUUUAAUAUUUACUCUCCUUAGCUGUUUGGUUGCCAAUUCCAGAUUUGCUAAUCCUCCCGAUUUCAUUAGAAGUCUAAGGUACUGCUUUCUUGAGUUCCCUAAAACUGGAGCAAUUAACUGUGAAAUAAAACUGCAGACUCAUCCAGCCUUUCUUAUGAACUUCUCCUCCACCAGGACUCAGUGCUUUCAAACUGGGUUCCUCCAGCCCAGUACACCUGCACAGAACUGGUUUGGACUUUUAAAACACGAAGGAAUUCUGUUUAUUUGGUGGAAUGUCACAUGGGCAUGAAGCAGUGCCAAUUUUUUUUCUCUCUCACUUUGGAGGAAAAAUGAUGGGUAAAAUUAUAUUUCAGGCUGAGGAGAUGACUCAGUCGUGAAAGCACAUGCUUUGCACAUAUGAAAAUCUGAGUUCAGCCUCCCAGGUGGCCAUGUAAAAGUAAAGUGUGGUACUGUGCCUUUAACCUCGGUGCUCAGGGCAAAAGACAGAAGAAUCCUUGGGGCUGAAUGGCCAGCUAGGCUCCUGAAUCAGUGAGUCAGGUUCAGUGAGAGAACCUAGCUCAAAAAAGGGGGGUUGAGGUGGGGAGAGCAACAAAGGAAGGCACCUCUGGCCUCUACGUGCAGGAACAGACACAAAUAAAAAUGUCAACAAGUGAAUGGUUCAACCAACUGUGGUGCCAUCCAUACCACAGAAUGAUUAGCAAUGCAAAGGAACAAACUAUUUAAGAAUCUAUAUUUAAGCUUGUUAUAGAAACAUACCUAUUGUCUAGUCUGGAUCACAAGCACACAAUGGUAAUUUGGGCAAUGCAAAAUCAUUAAGGCAAUAUUUUAGUAAGAAGUAGCAAAUAGGCCAGUCUUUCUAUCUUGUUAAAUUGUUAUCAGUUUAAGGUUUUGGCUUUUAGCUUUUUAAACAAAAUCUGAUAAGAAAAUUUGGAAGGGGAUAAAAAAGAGCACCAAUCACUGUAAGAUAAUCAUUCCAUCCUUUUCCUAUUUUUUUUUUUCUUUCUAGUAUGAGGACUGGGUGAAGAGCCUCGAGCAUGCAGUGGAAGCAAGAACCAUAUCCCCAAGUCCUCAGCAGAUAUUAAAAAAUAGAUUCCUCAA